rnacentral:rRNA from 1 species
UACGAAGGGGGGCUAGCGUUGCUCGGAAUCACUGGGCGUAAAGGGUGCGUAGGCGGGUCUUUUAAGUCAGGGGUGAAAUCCUGGAGCUCAACUCCAGGACUGCCUUUGAUACUGAGGAUCUUGAGUUCGGGAGAGGUGAGUGGAACUGCGAGUGUAGAGGUGAAAUUCGUAGAUAUUCGCAAGAACACCAGUGGCGAAGGCGGCUCACUGGCCCGAUACUGACGCUGAGGCACGAAAGCGUGGGGAGCAAACAGG